GUGCCAGCCGCCGCGGUAAGACAGAGGGUGCAAACGUUGUUCGGAAUUACUGGGCGUAAAGCGCGUGUAGGUGGCAAGGUAAGUCGGGUGUGAAAGCCCUGGGCUCAACCCGGGAAGUGCAUUCGAUACUGCCAAGCUAGAGUCUCGGAGAGGAUGGUGGAACUCUCGGUGUAGAGGUGAAAUUCGUAGAUAUCGAGAAGAACACCGGUGGCGAAGGCGGCCAUCUGGACGGUGACUGACACUGAGACGCGAAAGCGUGGGGAGCAAACAGGAUUAGAAACCCGCGUAGUCC
rnacentral:rRNA from 1 species